rnacentral:rRNA from 1 species
GGUUUAAUUCGAUGCAACGCGAAAACCUUACCUGCCCUUGACAUGUCAGGAAUCUUUCAGAGAUGAGAGAGUGCCUUCGGGAACCUGAACACAGGUGCUGCAUGGCUGUCGUCAGCUCGUGUCGUGAGAUGUUGGGUUAAGUCCCGUAACGAGCGCAACCCUUGUCCUUAGUUGCCAGCGGUUCGGCCGGGAACUCAAAGGAGACUGCCAGUGAUAAACUGGAGGAAGGUGGGAUGACGUCAAGUCAUCAUGGCCCUUACGACCAGGGCUACACACGUGCUACAAUGGCGCAUACAAAGAGAAGCGACCUCGCGAGAGCAAGCGGACCUCAUAAAGUGCGUCGUAGUCCGGAUUGGAGUCUGCAACUCGACUCCAUGAAGUCGGAAUCGCUAGUAAUCGUGGAUCAGAAUGCCACGGUGAAUACGUUCCCGGGCCUU